CUAAGAAUAUUCCGCAAUGGACGAAAGUCUGACGGAGCGACGCCGCGUGGAUGACGAAGGCCGAAAGGUUGUAAAGUCCUUUUGUCGACGAAGAAUAAGCGCGGUAGGGAAUGAUCGCGUGAUGACGUUAGUCGGCGAAUAAGCCCCGGCUAAUUACGUGCCAGCAGCCGCGGUAACACGUAAGGGGCAAGCGUUGUUCGGAAUUAUUGGGCGUAAAGGGUACGUAGGCGGUUCGGUAAGCCCGGCGUGAAAUCCUGCAGCUUAACUGCAGAGCUGCGCUGGGAACUGCGGAACUGGAGUCAUGGAAGGGAAGUUAGAAUUCCAGGUGUAGGGGUGAAAUCUGUAGAUAUCUGGAAGAAUACCGGUGGCGAAGGCGAACUUCUGGCCAAUGACUGACGCUGAGGUACGAAAGUGCGGGGAGCAAACAGG
rnacentral:rRNA from 1 species